rfam:Triticum urartu cultivar G1812 contig761158, whole genome shotgun sequence.
AUCAUAUCAGUCCGUCCCAAAUUACUUGUCGCAGAAAUGGAUGUAUCUAGACGUAUUUUUAGUUCUAGAUACAUCUAUUUCUAUCCAUUUCGCCAACAAGUAAUUUGGGACGGAGCGAGUAUUAA